rnacentral:lncRNA from 1 species
CCAGCUACAGCCCCACCUCUCCCAGCUACAGCCCCACUUCACCAGCUUACAGCCCCACUUCACCAGCUUACAGCCCCACAUCUCCUUCCUAUAGUCCGACUUCUCCUUCUUAUAGUCCAACUUCACCUUCCUACAGCCCUACAUCACCCUCUUACAGUCCAACAUCUCCAUCAUAUAGUCCUACAUCACCUGCUUACAGCCCCACAUCGCCUGGAUACAGCCCAACCUCACCCUCAUAUAGCCCAACCUCGCCAUCGUAUAGCCCUACUUCCCCUAGUUACAAUCCACAGUCAGCAAAGUAUAGUCCUUCGUUAGCAUAUUCUCCAAGCAGUCCGAGAUUGUCU